GCUGAAGAUAAAUGUUAAAAGAAAAGGAAAGGAAAAAAAGAAAUUUAAAGACGGAAAUGAAUUCUGGAAAUAGAAUUGAUGAGGUUUUGGUCUGUAUAAAAAUGGAUGAGCUAUUAUGAUCACCACGUCAUUGACAGCCUUACUCUCACAUGGAUUUUCCAAUCUUUUGCAGUCUUUUUUUUAGUAGUUAUAGCAUCUCCCAAUCAUGGAGUUUGAGAUAAAUUUUUAAUAUCUUCCCAGUUGCAUGCAUAUAUAUACCCCACCCUGAAACCUUGUUUUCUCACACAACCCCCUCUCAAAAAGUUCUUCCUUGCAACUUUCUUUUCUUUCAUUCUUUAGCUGAAACAUGGCAAUUGGCCAGUGCAAAGAUGUUGAACAAGGCGAAAUUAAUAGCCUUGAAGACCUGGAAAGGCCAUUGAUCCAUGAAGAGAAGAUGGUUUCUUAUGAAACUGAUGAUGGGAAUGAUCAGGAGAAUGGAUCCAUUGGAAUGGUUCUGCUUAGCACAUUUGUUGCUGUUUGUGGUUCUUUUGGAUUUGGUUCUUGUGAACAGAAUGCAAAAACACAAAUGAACACAGAAAUGUAAAAAAAAAAAAAAAGUUAGGUUUUUUUAGCUUAAGUUAUUCUUUUGGCAGGUGGGCUAUUCAGCACCCACUCAAUCCGCAAUCAUGGAAGAUCUUGAUCUCACAACAGCCCAGUACUCCAUGUUUGGCUCUAUACUAACAAUUGGUGCAAUGCUUGGUGCUAUUACAAGUGGCCGGAUUGCAGACUUCAUUGGUCGAAAAGGGGCGAUGAGAAUGUCGGCUGUAUUCUGCAUUACAGGGUGGCUAGCUGUGUUCUUCUCUAAAGGAUAUUUGUCGCUUGACAUGGGAAGAUUUUUCACUGGUUAUGGCAUUGGAGUUUUCUCCUUUGUGGUCCCAAUAUUCAUAGCAGAAAUAGCUCCAAAGAAUCUUCGUGGAGGGCUUACCACAUUGAAUCAGCUCAUGAUCGUUACUGGGUCAUCAAUUGCAUUCUUGUUAGGAAGCGUCAUAACAUGGAGAGCACUAGCUUUGACUGGCCUUAUUCCAUGCAUUUUCCUGCUCGUUGGUCUGUUCUUUGUUCCGGAGUCUCCCAGAUGGCUGGCAAAAGUUGGCCGAGAAGGAGAAUUCCAGGCUGCACUGCAGAAACUCCGUGGCAAAGAUACUGAUGUUACCCGCGAAGCCGAAGAAAUCCAAGUUUAUAUCCAAACUCUUCAAUCCCUUCCUAAUGCCAGCAUUCUUGAUUUAUUUCAAAGACAAUACAUUCGCUGUGUAUUUAUUGGAAUAGCAAUAAUGGUAUUCCAGCAAUUUGGAGGAAUCAAUGGCAUUGGAUUUUAUGUUAGUCAAACCUUCGUAUCUGCUGGACUUUCUUCCGGAACAAUUGGAACCAUAGCUUAUGCUUGUGUUCAGGUUCCAAUAACAGUAGUGGGAGCACUGUUAAUGGACAAAUCAGGAAGAAGACCACUGAUAAUGGUUUCUGCAGCUGGGACAUUCCUAGGCUGCUUCCUAGUAGGAAUUUCUUUCUUUCUCAAGGCACACAGUUUGUUGCUCGGAUGGGUACCUAUAAUGGCUGUUUCAGGAGUGCUGAUAUAUAUAUCAGCAUUCUCAAUUGGGAUGGGAGCAGUUCCAUGGGUGAUCAUGUCUGAGAUCUUCCCAAUAAAUAUAAAGGGAGUUGGAGGGAGCUUGGUGGUGCUGGUGAACUGGUUAGGUGCCUGGAUAGUUUCUUACACUUUCAACUUUCUCGUGAGCUGGAGUUCCUCAGGCACAUUCUUUCUGUACUCUGGAGUCUCAUUGACAACUAUUCUAUUUGUGGCCAAGUUUGUGCCAGAAACCAAAGGAAAAACACUAGAAGAAAUUCAAGAAUCUAUCAAUUCAUAGAAAGGAAGAAGGUUGAAAUCUAUUGGAAGUUGACUGGAAAUUUUUUUGAAGACCUUAAAAAUUUUGAUGGCACAGCAGCAAAAGGUCCAACCUCAAUACAGCAAGAAGUUCCAGUUGGACACCCUGCAUAUUGCAACAAAGUCCAUCAAAAUUUUUUAUGUUAGACGGAAAGAGACCAUGUAGGACCAGGGUCUUCGUGUUGUAACUACCAUAUAUAAGUAUUAGUGCUUGUGGUUUGCAUUCAUGUAGGAGAGAGAAGUAAUGAAAGUAACCUGUAGCCAAUCAAUGAAGAAGAAUUUUCAUGCUUGCUCUUGCUAUAUAUGCAAGCUUAAUUUCAAAUUUCAGCUCGCUAAUAUGACAGUCAAGUUUCUUAUCACCCAGAAAUUGCAAAAGGC
rnacentral:misc_RNA from 1 species